UGUUUUUAUACGCCCGUCUAUGACGGGACGUAUUAUGGUAUACCCCGCGUCCGUCCGUCCGUCCGUCCGUCCGUCUGUUAAUGUCGUACGCUACGUCAAAUAUCCUUUGACAGAUUUUCUUCAAAUUUUAACACAAUCUUAAUAUUGAUAAACCCUGAUCCCCUUUCGUUUUUGACGGAAUUCUGAAUUGUCGUUCCAGAGUUAUGGGACUUUGUUCGUCAAAAUUUCGUGAUUUCAUUGAAUGUCCUACUGUAGCUAUAUAAAAAUGUUAAAGUUGUUAUAACUUUGGUAUGCUUGGACCUAGAGUCUUGAAACUUGACAUGAAGGUUGGCCAGAACUAGUAAGUAACCACUGGACAUUUCAAGGUCAUUCAUUUGAAGGUCAAGGUCACUGUGACCUUGAAUGUAAAAAUGUUAAAGUUGUUAUAACUUUGGUAUGCUUGGACCUAGAGUCUUGAAACUUGACAUGAAGGUUGGCCAGAACUAGUAAGUAACCCCUGGACAUUUCAAGGUCAUUCAUUUGAAGGUCAAGGUCACUGUGACCUUGAAUGUAAAAAUGUUAAAGUUCUUAUUUCAUGUUAUAACUUUGGUAUGCUUGUACCUAGAGUCUUCAAACUUGAAAUAAAGAUUGGCCAGUACUAGAAGAUGACCACUGGUCAUUUCAAUGUCAUUCAUUUGAAGGUCAAGGUCACUGUGACCUUAAAUGUUAAAAUGUUAAAAUUGUUAUAACUUUGGUAUGCUUGGACAUAGAGUCUUCAAACUUGACAUGAAGGUUUGCAAGCACACUUAGAUGACCACUGGUCAUUUCAAGGUCAUUCAUUCUAAGGUCAAGGUCACUGUGACCUUAAAUGUUAUUGUUGUUCAUGUAUCCUACCGUAGCUCAAAUAUCCCCCGAUGGAUUUUUUAUACGCCCGUCUAUGACGCGACGUAUUAUGGUAUACCCCGCGUCCGUCCGUCCGUCCGUCCGUCCGUCUGUUAAUGUCGUACGCUACGUCAAAUAUCCUUUGACAGAUUUUCUUCAAAUUUUAACACAAUCUUAAUAUUGAUAAACCCUGAUCCCCUUUCGUUUUUGACGGAAUUCUGAAUUGUCGUUCCAGAGUUAUGGGACUUCGUUCGUCAAAAUUUCGUGAUUUCAUUGAAUGUCCUACUGUAGCUCAAAUAUCCUUCGAUGGAUUUUUUUCAAAUUUCAACACAAUCUUAAUAUUGAUAAACCCUGAUCCCCUUUCGUUUUUGACGGAAUUCUGAAUUGUCGUUCCAGAGUUAUGGGACUUUGUUCGUCAAAAUUUCGUGAUUUCCAUGCUCAUGUACUUAUAAAAUAAACCAUGUAUUCAAAUACAAAUAAACUGAAGUAAAAAAAUGA